rnacentral:rRNA from 1 species
CCUACGGGGAGCAGCAGUGAGGAAUAUUGGUCAAUGGACGCAAGUCUGAACCAGCCAUGCCGCGUGCAGGAAGACGGCUCUAUGAGUUGUAAACUGCUUUUGUACGAGGGUAAACGCAGAUACGCGUAUCUGUCUGAAAGUAUCGUACGAAUAAGGAUCGGCUAACUCCGUGCCAGCAGCCGCGGUAAUACGGAGGAUUCAAGCGUUAUCCGGAUUUAUUGGGUUUAAAGGGUGCGUAGGCGGUCGGAUAAGUUAGAGGUGAAAUCCCGAGGCUCAACUUCGGAAUUGCCUCUGAUACUGUUCGGCGAGAGAGUAGUUGCGGUAGGCGGAAUGUAUGGUGUAGCGGUGAAAUGCUUAGAGAUCAUACAGAACACCGAUUGCGAAGGCAGCUUACCAAGCUACUUCUGACGUGGAGGCACGAAAGCGUGGGGAGCAAACAGGAUUAGAUACCCUGGUAGUC